rnacentral:tRNA from 1 species
AUUUAUAUAGUUUAUAAUAAAACAUUAUAUUUUCACUAUAAAAAUAGAAUUUUUUUUCUUAUAAAUA